UCCUUUGCAAUGUGACCUGUGACCAACAGACAGUCGCCAAAUCUUAGCUCGUCGCAGAAGAAUCAACCCAAAUUCAUCUUUGCCCACUAAGCACCAGCCUGCCUGCCUCUGUUUUCACAGCUGUUCUAUCCCUUUGGCUCCAGUUGGUAUCAGCCAGCUCACGUCAAAUUCUCAACCGAGUCUUGCCUGUCUUGUGAUGCUACAGCUUGGUCUCCUCUCUACUGCCAAGCUUUCUGUCUCGUUUUAAUCCCUUUCGGGGAGCGAUCUACAGGCUCCAGUGGAGGAGGAGUCCAUGUUUGCAGCGAGCCCGGCCUUCAAAUUUCUGAAAAGUAGUCAAGGCAACUGUCACUUUCACCUGCAUCCGAACUGUUACACCCAGGGACCUCCAGCAAGCCCGUGGGAAAACAGUGUCUCCGCCAGCUUGCUGUGUGGCUUCCAAAUCAGUGAUUCUAAAGUCAACUCAAAGCAAACGCUGAGAUUUUGAGCUGCCAGAUUGGCAUCUGAGUUGAUUUUGGGACAAACUGAGGGCAUUUUAUGGGGCCGGAUUUUUGCCCCUUGGUAACAAUCUCCCCGUGUCCUUGUUUGCCGUUCGUGUAGCCAUCUUGUGCCCACUAAUUUUAGCUUAUUGAGUCUAGUUAUUGAGACAUCUUGGUCUGGAAACAUCCUGGCCUUGUGGUCUGUCUGGAGCUCAGGGACAGCGCUGGUGAACGUUCGCUUUUGAUGAAUGACUAACUAAGGACCCAGAGUUCACUCUUCUUUCGUCUCCUUGAGGUGCUUCCUCUCAGUCGUCUCUCUCCAGUGCCCUUCAAAUGUCCACAAACACUCUGAGCCAUCACUCCCUGGGAUUAAAGGCGUGAGUCACCAUGCUUGGCUGUAUCCUUGGACACAUGGAUUUCUGCCUCUGGAAUGCUAGGAUUAAAGUAACUCUGGUGCUGGUGAGGACAAAAACCAAAGAGAAUGCCAUGUUCCUGGCAAGACAGACUCAAGCAGCAAGAUGGCAUUUGUGAUCUUACAAUCUCACCGAUGAACUGGAAGAUGUGUAUCCUGCUUUACCAUUCACUACCUAGUCCCUUAGACAGAGUCUCUCACUGAACCUGGAUCUAGGCU